rnacentral:rRNA from 1 species
AUUGAACGCUGGCGGCAGGCCUAACACAUGCAAGUCGAGCGGAUGAAGGGAGCUUGCUCCUAGAUUCAGCGGCGGACGGGUGAGUAAUGCCUAGGAAUCUGCCUGGUAGUGGGGGAUAACGUCCGGAAACGGGCGCUAAUACCGCAUACGUCCUGAGGGAGAAGGUGGGGGAUCUUCGGACCUCACGCUAUCAGAUGAGCCUAGGUCAGAUUAGCUAGUUGGUGGGGUAAAGGCCUACCAAGGCGACGAUCCGUAACUGGUCUGAGAGGAUGAUCAGUCACACUGGAACUGAGACACGGUCCAGACUCCUACGGGAGGCAGCAGUGGGGAAUAUUGGACAAUGGGCGAAAGCCUGAUCCAGCCAUGCCGCGUGUGUGAAGAAGGUCUUCGGAUUGUAAAGCACUUUAAGUUGGGAGGAAGGGCAGUAAGUUAAUACCUUGCUGUUUUGACGUUACCAACAGAAUAAGCACCGGCUAACUUCGUG